UAGUAAAGGAGGGUGUUUAACCAACAUGUUUGG
rnacentral:tRNA from 1 species